CUUCUGAAAACGAGAGAGCGAGCGAAAGAGGGGAGAUAAGAGAGGGAGAAAAACGGUCACGUGACUUCACCUGCGUGACGUCAAUGCGAAAUGUGGAGUCCAGGUGGACCCUGAACAAACGAGGGAAAGAUUCACCAUGUCUGAUACUGAUCCUGCCGGACUGACCUACUGUAAGUUGGUCCUGGCGUUUGCCAUCCUCACUGACCUUUUUGGUGUGUCUAUCCUCCUGGUUGGAGUCUUUGUCCCACUUGAGAUCCGUGGGUGUGACAUCGGUGAUCUGUUGGUGUAUUCUGGGGCUCUGCUCGUGCUGCUGUCUAUGGGGGGUUGGCUGAUAUGGUACAGUGGGAACAUUGAGGGUUUGACAUCUGAGGAGGAGCCGACACACAAACACAAUGCAGUGGAGCGGUUCGCUCGGACCCUCAGCCGGCGCAUCCGGAGGCCUCACCGCAGCCACAGGACACCCUGACCUCUCUGGUCAUUCAAGAGAAGAUACACAAAAGGCUUGGGGAAAAGAUGAAAAUUUAACUUGGAUGAGAGGGAAUAAUUUAGAUGGCUAAAGUCUGACUGAGUUUUACACUGUGGGCUGAGGGAAAGGUUUUUUGCAUUUUGUUAAAUUAAAAGAAGUGAACAUUCUUUAUUAUUUA